GAUGAACGCUGGCGGCGUGCCUAAUACAUGCAAGUCGAGCGAACAGAUGAGGAGCUUGCUCCUCUGACGUUAGCGGCGGACGGGUGAGUAACACGUGGAUAACCUACCUAUAAGACUGGGAUAACUUCGGGAAACCGGAGCUAAUACCGGAUAAUAUAUUGAACCGCAUGGUUCAAUAGUGAAAGACGGUUUUGCUGUCACUUAUAGAUGGAUCCGCGCCGCAUUAGCUAGUUGGUAAGGUAACGGCUUACCAAGGCAACGAUGCGUAGCCGACCUGAGAGGAUGAUCAGCCACACUGGAACUGAGACACGGUCCAGACUCCUACGGGAGGCAGCAGUAGGGAAUCUUCCGCAAUGGGCGAAAGCCUGACGGAGCAACGCCGCGUGAGUGAUGAAGGUCUUCGGAUCGUAAAACUCUGUUAUUAGGGAAGAACAAAUGUGUAAGUAACUAUGCACGUCUUGACGGUACCUAAUCAGAAAGCCACGGCUAACUACGUG
rnacentral:rRNA from 1 species